AAGGAAUAUUGGACAAUGGGCGAAAGCCUGAUCCAGCCAUGCCGCGUGAAUGAAGAAGGCCUUAGGGUUGUAAAGUUCUUUUAGGGGUGACGAUAAUGACGGUAGCCCCAGAAAAAGCUCCGGCUAACUCCGUGCCAGCAGCCGCGGUAAUACGGAGGGAGCGAGCGUUGUUCGGAAUUACUGGGCGUAAAGCGUGCGCAGGCGGUCUUAUAAGUCAGAAGUGAAAGCCCUGGGCUCAACCCAGGAAUUGCUUUUGAAACUGCAAGACUAGAGUAUCGGAGAGGUUGGCGGAAUUCCCAGUGUAGAGGUGAAAUUCGUAGAUAUUGGGAGGAACACCAGUGGCGUAAGCGGCCAACUAGACGAUUACUGACGCUCAGGCACGAAAGCGUGGGGAUCAAAC
rnacentral:rRNA from 1 species